rnacentral:rRNA from 1 species
AGAUUGAACGCUGGCGGAAUGCUUUACACAUGCAAGUCGAACGGCAGCACGGGACUCAGGCAACUGAGCCCUGGUGGCGAGUGGCGAACGGGUGAGUAACAUAUCGGAACGUACCCAGUCGUGGGGGAUAACUCUCCGAAAGGAGAGCUAAUACCGCAUACGUCCUGAGGGAGAAAGCGGGGGACCUAAGGGUAACUGAGGGCCUCGCGCGAUUGGAGCGGCCGAUAUCGGAUUAGCUAGUUGGUGAGGUAAAGGCUCACCAAGGCGACGAUCCGUAGCGGGUCUGAGAGGACGACCCGCCACACUGGAACUGAGACACGGUCCAGACUCCGUACGGGAGGCAGCAGGUGGGUAAUUUGGACAAGUGGGGCAACCCGUGACUCCAGCCAUUCCGCGUGAGUGAAGAGGUCGUUCGGUUAGUAAGUCU